UCGGGGAUAUUGCGGCAAUGGAGGAAACUCUGACGCAGUGACGCCGCGUGCAGGAAGAAGGUUUUUCGGAUUGUAAACUGCUUUAGACAGGGAAGAAACAAGACAGUACCUGUAGAAUAAGCUCCGGCUAACUACGUGCCAGCAGCCGCGGUAAUACGUAGGGAGCAAGCGUUAUCCGGAUUUAUUGGGUGUAAAGGGUGCGUAGACGGGAAGGCAAGUUAGUUGUGAAAUCCCUCGGCUUAACUGAGGAACUGCAACCAAAACUAUCUUUCUUGAGUGCUGGAGAGGAAAGUGGAAUUCCUAGUGUAGCGGUGAAAUGCGUAGAUAUUAGGAGGAA
rnacentral:rRNA from 1 species